GCACUGCUGAGGAGUCCCACAUCUGGACGAGACGGCCGUCCAGUGC
rnacentral:hammerhead_ribozyme from 1 species